rnacentral:lncRNA from 1 species
AAGAGAUAAUCAAUACCACUACUGACGGAAUACAAAACAACAAAAGAGAUGAUCAAUACCACUGCUGGUGGAAUAAAAAACAACAAAAGAGAUGAUCAAUACCACUCCUUGUGAAAUAAACAACAAGAAAAGAGAUGCACAAUAACCCUGCUGGUGGAAUAAAUAACAACAAAAGAGAUGCCCAAUAACACUGCUGGUGGAAUAAACAAC